AUGAUCUCUGGAGGAAGUAGUAGCACCAGCAGCAGCGAUGUUAAAGGAUUCUCAUCCCUUGCCAAGAUCCAUAUUGAGAGGUGCCCCAAAUUAUUGAGCAUGGAUGAAUCUUGUCCUAGCUGGCUCCGGCCCAACCUGCUGCCAAUGUUGCGCUCCCUUGAAUUUCAUAAGUGUGACAACUUGAAAAGCAUAUCAUUCUUUGUCCCGUUGGAUGGAUCAGUUGAUAGUACAGCACGUUCAGACAACCGUCUUGAAGAGUUAGUCAUAAAAGCUUGUGCUCAAAUCAAUUGGCAAGGCUUGGUGGUCCUACCUACUUCUCUUAGAAGGCUAACCCUUGAUAAAUCAGGCAAUUUUAUGGAUCACUUUGUGAGCUGCUUCCUUGACCUCACCUCCCUCACUCAUUUGUGCAUAAUUCGCUGCGAGUCGUUGACAUCUAUUCCCCUGCAUUUGUGGAGAAGCAAUCUUCCAUCCCUGGAGGAACUAUAUAUUGAUUCUUGCGACAAUCUUACAUCAAUCGUCUCUGAAGCAAGUAGCAACAGCGAUGUUAAAGGAUUCUCAUCCCUUGCCAAGAUACGUAUUGAGAGGUGCCCCAAAUUACUCGGCAUGGAUGAAUUGCUCAAGCGAGAUUGUGUACCUGGCGUGAAGACCAUUUGGGUUUUCUUUUGUGGAGAGUUGAUGUCCCUCUGUGUUGAUAGGCUCGAGGGGUUGGAAGAUCUGCUAAUUAUAGGUUGUCAUUUUAAGUUGGAUUCGCGGAGGGUAAUGAUAUUACCAUCGUCUCUUAAGAAUCUCCGUGUGGGGUGUUGUGAGGGCAUAGAAUGUAUCAACCUCGCCAAUAGCAACAUGGCAAGUUCUGCACCGGUGCUGGAGGAACUCAGCAUUACGUCCUGUCCAGGCCUCCAGUCCAUUGGUGGUGCAGCAGCUGUUGAUAAAAUAAAGAAAGUGAAUAUAAGGUGGUGCCCCGAGCUCAACGAGAUACAGCAGCCACUCUGCCGCUGCCUUGUUGGCACUGCUGAUGCUGAAAAUUGGCACGAGAAGUAUGGGGAAGAGGUUCGACCGGCAUAG
rnacentral:rRNA from 1 species